AUUGCCCUAGUAACGGCGAGUGAAGCGGCAACAGCUCAAAUUUGAAAUCUGGCCCUCGGGUCCGAAUUGUAAUUUGUAGAGGAUGCUUUUGGCGCGGUGCCUACCGAGUUCCCUGGAACGGGACGCCUUAGAGGGUGAGAGCCCCGUACGGUUGGACACCAAGCCUCUGUAAAGCUCCUUCGACGAGUCGAGUAGUUUGGGAAUGCUGCUCUAAAUGGGAGGUAAAUUUCUUCUAAAGCUAAAUAUUGGCCAGAGACCGAUAGCGCACAAGUAGAGUGAUCGAAAGAUGAAAAGCACUUUGAAAAGAGGGUUAAAUAGCACGUGAAAUUGUUGAAAGGGAAGCGUUUGCGACCAGACCUUUUCCCGGCGGAUCAUCCGGUGUUCUCACCGGUGCACUUCGCCGGGUUUAGGCCAGCAUCGGUUUUUGUAGGGGGAUAAAAGCUUAGGGAACGUAGCUCCCUCGGGAGUGUUAUAGCCCUUUGCAUAAUACCCUUACGGGGACCGAGGACCGCGCUUCUGCAAGGAUGCUGGCGUAAUGGUCGUCAACGACCCG
rnacentral:rRNA from 1 species